rnacentral:rRNA from 1 species
UACGUAGGGUCCGAGCGUUGUCCGGAAUUAUUGGGCGUAAAGGGCUCGUAGGCGGUCUGUUGCGUCGGGAGUGAAAACUUACAGCUUAACUGUGAGCGUGCUUCCGAUACGGGCAGACUUGAGGUAUUCAGGGGAGAACGGAAUUCCUGGUGUAGCGGUGAAAUGCGCAGAUAUCAGGAGGAACACCGGUGGCGAAGGCGGUUCUCUGGGAAUAUCCUGACGCUGAGGAGCGAAAGUGUGGGGAGCGAACAG